rnacentral:tRNA from 1 species
GCCUUCUUGGUGUAGUGGUCAGCACGCUCAGUGCGUAUUCGAGAGAUCCAGGGUUCGAGUCCCGGCGAGGGCA